UCUUCCUCUGCCUUCUCUUCUUUUCGGUUUCCCCUUGCCAAAUCUGAACCCUAGACUCCCGAAUCCUCUCUGAAACAAGAAGCCGUCACUUCCGAUCCAAGAACUCAGAUCACGCAGGCGAUGGCCUUCUCUGAUCGACCGCUCCUGUUGCCCCGGCAUGGCGACGACUGGGGCGUUGGACAAUCUCCCGAUGCCAAGUCCUGAGGGAGAUUCCUCAUGGUUCGGCGCUUCUAAUGUCAGGUUGUGCUCGCCGAUGUUGGAAGGGGUUACCGCACCUGGAACGUUUGACGCACCAAGAGAAGGACAUGAUCGUGAAGCUCGAAGCAAGGUUGUGGAUGUCUUAUGGAAACCCAAACCCUUCACUGGCUAAGAAGCAGGCAUCAGCUGUGUCCUAGCUUCAUUUAUAACCAGCAGUACCUUCCAUCCUUAAUCAUAUUAUGAUCAGCUGAUUGAGUCCUGUGUUCGUGGUUCACUGUCUCCAGAAAUAAUCCCAUCGAUGCUUGCUGAUGGAUUUGAAGGAUGAGCGACAAUAGAGAUGGUGGGACCAGCUGGUUUUGCAAGGGGUGGACUCUCCCCUUCCUAGUGCUUGUAAGAGAUAUAGUCCUAACCCCGUUAGGACUCUCCCUUGCUAGGGUCAGCCUCCUUAAUUGUCCUCCAAUUUGGCUGCAAGGCUUCUCCCAGUCCGAGUGUAACUCUGCUUGGUUAUGCUAAAAUUAGAGUUGAUGUUGGUAUGAUCAAAACUUGAUCUUGAGAUUGGGCUUGCAUGGUGUUUGACUAGGUUAGAUUAGAAUUAGUGUUCGAGUCAAACUUUAAUUGAGCUGAAUUAAACUUCGAUCGAAAUUCAAUUUGAGUUGAACUUAGUAAGACUUAAGUUGCA